AACGAACGCUGGCGGCAUGCCUAACACAUGCAAGUCGAACGAGACCUUCGGGUCUAGUGGCGCACGGGUGCGUAACGCGUGGGAAUCUGCCCUUGGGUUCGGAAUAACUCAGAGAAAUUUGAGCUAAUACCGGAUGAUGACGUAAGUCCAAAGAUUUAUCGCCCAGGGAUGAGCCCGCGUAGGAUUAGCUUGUUGGUGAGGUAAAAGCUCACCAAGGCGACGAUCCUUAGCUGGUCUGAGAGGAUGAUCAGCCACACUGGGACUGAGACACGGCCCA
rnacentral:rRNA from 1 species